GGUAAUAUAACUUAUAGGUAGAGUGUCAUCUUGAUAAGUUGGAAGUCAUCAGUUCAAGUCUGAUUACCC
rnacentral:tRNA from 1 species